rnacentral:rRNA from 1 species
GACGAACGCUGGCGGCGUGCUUAACACAUGCAAGUCGAACGGAAAGGCCCUGCUUGCAGGGUACUCGAGUGGCGAACGGGUGAGUAACACGUGGGUGAUCUGCCAUGCACUUCGGGAUAAGCCUGGGAAACUGGGUCUAAUACCGGCAAGGAGCCAGUUUUAGUGUGAUGGUUGGAAAGUUUUUUCGGUGUAGGAUGAGCUCGCGGCCUAUCAGCUUGGUGGUGGGGUAAUGGCCUACCAAGGCGGCGACGGGUAGCCGGCCUGAGAGUGUGGACGGCCACGGUGGGACUGAGAUACGGCCCAGACUCCUACGGGAGGCAGCAGUGGGGAAGAUUGCACAAGGGGCGCAAGCCUGAUGCAGCGACGCCGCGUGGGGGAGGACGGACUUCGGGUUGUAAACUCCUUUCGCUAGGGACGAAGCUUUUUGUGACGGUACCUAGAUAAGAAGCACCGGCUAACUACGUG